GACGAACGCUGGCGGCGUGCUUAACACAUGCGAGUCGAACGGAAAGGCCCUGCUUUUGUGGGGUGCUCGAGUGGCGAACGGGUGAGUAACACGUGAGUAACCUGCCCUUGACUUUGGGAUAACUUCAGGAAACUGGGGCUAAUACCGGAUAGGAGCUCCUGCUGCAUGGUGGGGGUUGGAAAGUUUCGGCGGUUGGGGAUGGACUCGCGGCUUAUCAGCUUGUUGGUGGGGUAGUGGCUUACCAAGGCUUUGACGGGUAGCCGGCCUGAGAGGGUGACCGGCCACAUUGGGACUGAGAUACGGCCCAGACUCCUACGGGAGGCAGCAGUGGGGGAUAUUGCACAAUGGGCGGAAGCCUGAUGCAGCAACGCCGCGUGCGGGAUGACGGCCUUCGGGUUGUAAACCGCUUUCGCCUGUGACGAAGCGUGAGUGACGGUAAUGGGUAAAGAAGCACCGGCUAACUACG
rnacentral:rRNA from 1 species